UGUUGGGAAGCUGUCCGGCGGUGGUGUUGAAGAAUCCGGCGUCGUAGGAUGCGUUGGCGGUGGAGAGAGAAGCGAGGAGAGUAUUUAGGUUGGCCUGGUAAGUGGUGUUUGGUGCGAAGGUGGUUGUGUUUGAGCACUGAUGGUAGAGAUAAGUUGGGUCUAUUCCGCUUGUGGACAUGGCUAGGGAGGUGAGGUAGACGAAGAGAAACGCGAACCCAGAUGAGAAUUCGUUGGCAGCCAUCGUAAUCCUGGGAAUUUGCUAAAGAACAUACGAAGCAAAGACUUGAUCCUGAUUUAGCUUUUCUAGCCUAGAUAUCAAAAAGAAAUGUGUGAACAUGGGAGCUGAUCAUGAGAGUGACAGUCAGCAGGGUUCAAAGUCAAUUUGGAUUGAAAAAUCAAAGGACGUUAAAAAUGGUUGGGGAUAGAAGUAGACGACGGGAAGCAAUUAAUGGUCUUUUCAUUUAUCUUUUUACGUAGCCAUAAAGAGUCUUAAAUAAUAUAAAAAAUAAUUGUAAUCAUAUCAUUAAUUAUUAUUCGUAGGACUUCAUACCUUAAACUUCAAUAUAAUAUGACACAACAAACAUUUCUAAGUGAAAUAGAAGAUCUAAACUAAAUCACUAUUAUUAUUUAUAAUACAAUAUUCUAUAUAUGAUUCAUCAACCCUUCCGACUGAUCAAGACUCUAACGAGGAAGCAAUUCAGUGAUUGAAGCUUCAUUAAUGGAAUAUUGGUGUGAUGGCGAUGACUUGGUAGCACUUUGAUCAGAAUACAUCAUCUUCAUCCCCCCGUUUGAAUCCAUUCCACUUGGAACAAAAAAUGCUGGUUGUCCAGGUGAUGGUAGACUAACUGAGUAACUGUUAAGCAUUAAAAGGAUUGUCGCCAUUGUAGGUCGAUCAGCCGGGUCUUCCUGAACACAUAAUAGCCCAAUAUGAAUGCAUCGGAUCACUUCAUUUUUCGAAUAACAGUCUCCUACCAUUGGAUCCAGCAAUUCUAAUGGUCUUCCAUCCCUCCAAACUUUCCAAGCCUGCACCAAUUUACUUAUUCAAUACUUUUACAAUCUAAACCACCCUCUCUCUCUCUUUUAAUUGUAAGAUAAAUAUACUUACGUAGCUCAACAAGUCACCAGUACCAUCUUUUUCGUAGAAACUACUGUUCUUCUUCCCGCUUAUAAUCUCUAAAACUAAUACUCCAAAACUAUACAUAUCCGAUUUCACUGAGAACUGCCCGUGCAUUGCAUAUUCUGGAGACAUGUAACCACUGCAAAACAUCACCAGGUAAGUAAGCAUUAAGCUUUUCAUAGAUAAUUUAACUCUAUCAUAACUCUUACUAUGUCCCCACAACUCUACUGGUGUUUGCUUGCGUUUGAUCAACUCCAAAAAUUCUUGCCAUGCCAAAGUCCGAAAUUUUGGGAUUCAUAUCUGCGUCUAGUAGUACGUUGCUAGCUUUGAGAUCGCGAUGUAUAAUUUUGAGUCGAGAUUCCUCAUGAAGAUAAACAAUCCCUCGACCGAUCCCACUGAUUAUCUUGUAACGUCUUGACCAAUCCAACUCUCUUUGUUUUUCAGAGUCUACACGGCGAUAAUCAACAUCAAAUACGAGUUGAGGUUAAUUGUUUUAGUUAAAAAUUUUCAAAAUGCCUGUCAGUAUAUAUAUAUAUAUAUACACACACAUAGAUUGAUCACCAUAAAGGAAAUAGUCAAGGCUUUUGUUCGGAACAAAUUCGUAGACAAGUAUCUUUUCUUCUGCUUCCAAGCAGAAUCCAAGGAGUCUCACUAGAUUUCUGUGUUGAAGCUUGGCAACCACUAAAACCUCAUUCUUAAAUUCUUCUGCACCUUGGCUUGAGCUUCUUGAUAAUCUUUUCACAGCAAUUUCUUGUCCAUUUGGCAGUGUACCCUAAUCAUAAUAUGCAAUAUUAACCAGUAAUUAUAACUACUUUUCACUUCAUCACACAAAUCUUACACUUUUGGAUUAUACUUACAUACCUUGUAUACUUCACCAAAUCCACCUUCACCUAACUUAUUAACCUCCGAGAACUUAUUUGUGGCAGCUUCAAUUGUACCGAGAUCAAAUUGUAACGACUCCACCGUUGUAAUUUCAGUCCCGGCUGCACUCACAAACAGUUUACUAUUGACAAGAAAGAAGAGAUUGAAAGCAAUAUCUUCAAACGCAGAUCUUAAAUCCCGUAUAGUAUGUAAGUUAAUGUCAUUGUCUUUACCAUCCUCUGGUCCAGCAGUGCUUUGCUUCUUUCUUGACCUCCUAACCAGUAAACAGUAGCCUAUCACGAAUAGCAGAACAGAGACAGAAAUUGGAGCGACAAUGGCAACAAUCACCGUAGUUCGAUUCCUUUUUCCUGCAUGAAAAAUGAUACGUUUAACACCUUUUUGUUUUAAAACAAUUAAAACAAAAGAAAGAGAAAUCAAUUUCAUGACCUCUACUCCGUCUUGCAGAACUGGGUGGUUGAGGAGAAGGAGGGAAAACAGGGGCAGAAGCUGGUGAUAAACUCAGAUUUUCUCCGUAAAAUGGAUAAAUCUCGAACCGGGCAUUGCAGCUAGGAGUGAAAACUCUGGCACCUUGGUCUACACUGCAACAGUUCUUCAAUCUGUCAACAACUAGCUGGAGGCAACCGCUGCAAUCCUGCACUGACAAGUCCGGAGUGCACUGCGCAAGUGUAUACAAACUGUUAAGAGCUGUGAAAUUCUCUUUCUUGGUGGCAAACUUCUUGGCACCGGCCGGCGCAGAGGCGGCCAUGGCCGCGGAAUCGUUUAGUGUCGAAACUACAAGCUUACUGAACCGGUCUUUUUGGCUAGUUAUGUUCAUGCUGUUCCACAUCCGAACGGAGGGAGUCGUGGCUCCGACGGAGAAGAUGGAGUUGUUGGAGUAACGGAGCAAGCACUGGUCGUACCAAAUCACAGUUUCUUUCUCAACAGGGCAGCGCUGGAGUGUGUCGGCGACGGAAAAAGUGACGCAGUCUCUGCAGGUUUGAGUGUCGACAUCUCCGCGGCAAAGGAAGAGGCCGUAGACUCUGUU
rnacentral:lncRNA from 1 species